rnacentral:rRNA from 1 species
AUUGAACGCUGGCGGAAUGCUUUACACAUGCAAGUCGAACGGCAGCGCGGACUUCGGUCUGGUGGCGAGUGGCGAACGGGUGAGUAAUACAUCGGAACGUGCCCAGUCGUGGGGGAUAACGUAGCGAAAGCUACGCUAAUACCGCAUACGAUCUAAGGAUGAAAGCGGGGGAUCGCAAGACCUCGCGCGAUUGGAGCGGCCGAUGGCAGAUUAGGUAGUUGGUGGGGUAAAGGCUCACCAAGCCGACGAUCUGUAGCUGGUCUGAGAGGACGACCGGCCACACUGGGACUGAGACACGGCCCAGACUCCUACGGGAGGCAGCAGUGGGGAAUUUUGGACAAUGGGCGCAAGCCUGAUCCAGCCAUUCCGCGUGCAGGAUGAAGGCCCUCGGGUUGUAAACUGCUUUUGUACGGAACGAAAAGGCUCUGGUUAAUACCUGGGGCUCAUGACGGUACCGUAAGAAUAAGCACCGGCUAACUACGUGCCAGCCGCCGCGGUAA